GACGAACGCUGGCGGCGUGCCUAAUACAUGCAAGUAGAACGCACAGUUCAUACCUUAUCUUGCUACACCAUAUACUGUGAGUUACGAACGGGUUAGUAACGCGUAGGUAACCUGCCUGGUAUCGGGGGAUAACUAUUGGACACGAUAGCUAAUACCGCAUACUAUUAAUUAUUCCAUGAUAAGUUAUUCAAGGUUGCAAUUGCACAACUACCCGAUGGACCUGCGUUGUAUUAGCUAGUAAGUGAGGUAACGGCGAAUCGAGGCGAGGAUACAUAGCCGACCUGAUAGGGGGAUCUGCCACGCUGGGACUGAGAGAUGGCCCAGACUCCUGCGGGAGGGAGCAGGAGGGGAUCUUCGGCAAUGGACGAAAGUCGGAACGAGCGACGACGGGUGAGUGAAGAAGGUUUUCGGAUCGUAAAGGUGUGGUGUAAGAGAAGAACGUGUGGGAGAGUGGAAAGUUCACACUGUGACGGUAUCUUAACAGAAAGGGACGGCUAACUACGUG
rnacentral:rRNA from 1 species